CUUGUUGCUAUAGAAGAACCACUCUAUUUUAUUUGGUGCUUAUUUCAGAACAAUGAAGACAGGCUGAGCACUGCUACCAGAAAUUUAGAAGAGCUUACAGCGAAGCACAUGGAAGAAAUGAAAGAAGUGGAAAAGUAUGCAAACCAUGUCCAUAACUUAACAGAGGAAAGAGAAGCAUCUUCUCACAGUUGUGAAGAGGAAAACAAAGAACUUGGAAAUGUGGUUAAGGAGCUCCAAUCAAGACAGGGAGAAAUUUGAGCAAAUUCACCAGCCUCUGCAAAGAGAACAUGAGAAAUAUCGGG
rnacentral:lncRNA from 1 species